rnacentral:ncRNA from 3 species
UCGUGCCACCACGGGAGUCCGGUGAACCGGGCUGAGAGGAAGGUAUUCGCCUUCGACCGUCGAACCUGAUCUGGAUCAUGCCAGCGCAGGGAGACCAUUUCUCGCUAUC